AGAGUUUGAUCCUGGCUCAGGAUGAACGCUGGCGGCGUGCUUAACACAUGCAAGUCGAACGAAGCAUUUAGAACAGAUUAUUUCGGUAUGAAGUUCUUUAUGACUGAGUGGCGGACGGGUGAGUAACGCGUGGGUAACCUGCCUUGUACUGGGGGACAACAGUUAGAAAUGACUGCUAAUACCGCAUAAGCGCACAGUAUCGCAUGAUACAGUGUGAAAAACUCCGGUGGUACAAGAUGGACCCGCGUCUGAUUAGCUAGUUGGUAAGGUAACGGCUUACCAAGGCGACGAUCAGUAGCCGACCUGAGAGGGUGACCGGCCACAUUGGGACUGAGACACGGCCCAGACUCCUACGGGAGGCAGCAGUGGGGAAUAUUGCACAAUGGAGGAAACUCUGAUGCAGCGACGCCGCGUGAGUGAAGAAGUAAUUCGUUAUGUAAAGCUCUAUCAGCAGGGAAGAUAGUGACGGUACCUGACUAAGAAGCUCCGGCUAAAUACGUGCCAGCAGCCGCGGUAAUACGUAUGGAGCAAGCGUUAUCCGGAUUUACUGGGUGUAAAGGGAGUGUAGGUGGCCAUGCAAGUCAGAAGUGAAAAUCCGGGGCUCAACCCCGGAACUGCUUUUGAAACUGUAAGGCUAGAGUGCAGGAGGGGUGAGUGGAAUUCCUAGUGUAGCGGUGAAAUGCGUAGAUAUUAGGAAGAACACCAGUGGCGAAGGCGGCUCACUGGACUGUAACUGACACUGAGGCUCGAAAGCGUGGGGAGCAAACAGGAUUAGAUACCCUGGUAGUCCACGCC
rnacentral:rRNA from 1 species